rnacentral:lncRNA from 1 species
AGCAAGCCCCGCCCCUGUGGACCGCAGUCGUGCGCAGGGACUGUGGUGGGAGCCUUGGAGUGGCCUGUGUUCCUUCUCCCUGGAGAGGGCAGCUACCUGGGGCUCAAAGCAAGCCCGGAGGGAUCUUUGGCAUUGCAGGGGCUGCAUUAAGCAAUGAGAAAGUCAGACAGCGUCUCCUCUGGUCAGAGCCAUCCUCCUCCUCCGGGUUUCCAGGGAACCUCGCCCAUGUCGCACCAGUGAGCUCCUCACAGCAGAAUGAUUCACUGAGUACUCCUUAAGGUUCUGUACACUGGACGUGGGACUGUGGCGAGUUGUGGGUGCCCCAGCCGCGUCCUCCCGGCGCCGCAGACUCUGGAGAAAUUCCCCUGCAAUGGAGGGGACCAGAAGUGGAGAUCACCGGAACCUGUCCGCAGGAGGAUCUGGAGUUCACCCGCAGGGCAGCUGUCAGCAGCUCCAGAGACGGAUGAAUGAACACGUAGAGGGGUGGGGAGCGAAGGUGCUGGGGAGGGAGCCGUCUUCAAAUAAAAAUGAAAGGAACAUGCUGGACAAAAUAAUGGGGCUGUUUAAUAAUAAGUCCUGCCCAAGACACCUCUGCCCUAAGACCCAGCCCUCCUGCCCCUGUCCCCGGCCCUGAAGUUUC